GAGAUGUAGCUCAGAUGUAGAGAACCCCUGGGUUCAAGCUUCAGUACCCCACAAAAUAAAAGUAAGUUUACAUUCACAAUGGCAAAAGCUCAAAUAUAUCUUCAUGAGGAAUAUACAUUCCUCAAGCAAUUCUACUCUGACAAUUUUACACAUUUUUCUUUUUUUUACCAAUCACUUAUACUGAAAAUACAGAGGAAGAUCAGCUAUUUUCAGUACUUGAUAAAAACACUAAUAAAGUCAAUCAGCUCAUUUCCAGGGAAGUCAAUGUGACCAUGGAUAUUCACUUGAACAGACAUGCUAUAUACAAUAUUCAGAGCAUUCAAAGCAACAAAUAAGAAAUCAUAGAUCCACUGGAUGUUUUUACUGAAGUCUUCUUUAUGUGAGGAAUGGUGAUGGGAAGAUCGUGAGAUACAGCAGUGAUAAAAUAUUCACAGUUGCUACCCAUGUGUGACUUGGUGUCCUCCUCCCUGUGACAGGUGGACAUGGAUGGCAUAGUGAAUUCCACAGUGUACAUCAGCUGGCUGAAACAAAAUUGAGAGAGAGAGAGAGACAAGAGAAAAUACCAAGAAUUAGAAAACAACUAUAUACACCAGUGGGCAAGUAAGAACCAACAGCAUUCACUUUUUUCCAAAAGUCAAAUAGAUCAACUCAUAUGGAAGAAAUGAUAAGGAAGAUCCAAAUUUUGAGGCAAGCACUAAAUAAAGAAUGGCAAAGGCAAGGAAGCAAAUCACCCAGCUCACAGAGAAAACAGGAGUAAUGAGAAAAGAGAGUGGCUUCUACUUCAGCAAGAGGGAAAACAGUUUCAUGAGAUAGCUUCAGAGCUCAUGGCCAUAUAUUAGUGGAAGCAGUACUAUGGAAGGUCCAUGGAUUCUUACAGUGGAUUUACAUCUCUCUAUAAAGGCCUCCUCCAUUUCUCCUUCAUGCCUCCAAUACUGGUUGAAUUCUCCUGAAAGCAGACAGAACUUAAUGGACAUGAUAUUUAGAAAGGAUAUCCAAUGGAAGGGACUGGAAGAAAGCAGUUUUGAACAAAGAAGUCCAGCUGUGAGCCACCUACAUCAGCCUCAGCCAACCUUAGGAGGAACUGUAUAGUUUCCGAUGGCCCAUUAGACCACUGAAGUGACUCCUAGCCAAGUGGCUGAGGCUGUGCCUCAGUCUCUGUCAUUGUAUUAGAGGUCUUGGUGGCUUUCUCUAGCUGAGGCAGUGAUACCUGAAGGAUCUGACAUUGAGAGGCUGCCUGCUCCUAACAUUUCCAGAAGCUGGAGAAUAAUGUUCUUCCUUGAAGGGACAUUUGAGCAGCAAAUCACAGUAUUCACCACUGGCUUCAAAUCUUAUAUAUUUAAAUAUAUAAAGACAU